AAGUCGUAACAAGGUUUCCGUAGGUGAACCUGCGGAAGGAUCAUUACCGUGGGGCUUCGGCCCCAUUGAGAUAGCACCCUUUUGUUUUAUGAGUACCCUUGUUUCCUCGAGGCUGGCCUUGCCCGCGAGUAAAGGCUAGCAUCAAACCUUUGCAGUAGCAGUAACUUCAGUUAAAAAACAAAUAUUAAAA
rnacentral:misc_RNA from 1 species